ACCUGGAUGUGGGUUUUGCGCGGCAACGCAACUGAACGUGGAGACGACGGCGGGGGCCCCGGGCAGAGUUGGCUGGUCAUUUGACACUAUACGUUUUUGUUGGAGUUGGGGAGCUAGGGUUUAAUGGCUGGAAGAGCCCAGCACCUCUGCUGGGUCCGGUGCGCUCUCGACGUCCCUUGAAAAUCCACGGGAGGAAAUAAUUCUCACGCAGG
rnacentral:ncRNA from 2 species